rnacentral:misc_RNA from 1 species
UCCGGCUUGACGCCGGCAGUCCCCCGAGAGUCCUCAGCUUCACCUGCUAGUAACACGGGGCAAGGGUUGCGCUCGUUGCGGGACUUAACCCAACAUCUCACGACACGAGCUGACGACAGCCAUGCAGCACCUGUGCACGGGUCCCGAAGGGGGGCCCCUGUUUCCAGAGGCUUUCCCGUAGAUGUCAAGCCCAGGUAAGGUUCUUCGCGUUGCUUCGAAUUAAACCACAUAAUCCACCGCUUGUGCGGGUCCCCGUCAAUUCCUUUGAGUUUUAACCUUGCGGCCGUACUCCCCAGGCGGUCAACUUCACGCGUUAGCUUCGUUACCAAGGGAGUUAAUCCCCCGACAACCAGUUGACAUAGUUUAGGGCGUGGACUAC